GCAUGGAUGGAUCUGAUGAAAUUGGAACCCCUGGACCUAAAGGGCGAGAGGGACCACGAGGAUACCCUGGUUUUCCUGGUCAGCUGGGACCAAAUGGUAUCACUGGAACCUCUGGUGUUGGGGGACGUAAUGGUUCAAGAGG